CGCACAGUCUGGAGGAAUUGAACUAAGCAGAAUCCAGGCAUGGCGACUUCCGGGAUAAAAAUUUACAUAUUUGUUUUAGUUCACAUCUUUAAUGUGAAUUGACUGAGGUGACUUCUGCUUUCCCUGUGACACCUCAUUCCCCUCACUGUCUGUUAGAACCCAUAUUCUGCCUAUGCGCAGAUGAUUAUGGUGGCAAAUACUGUGAGUUAGGCGGAUUCGAUGGUGACAGGGGCCUCAACAGGGUCAUGCAGCCAGGGAAGACCAGUCUGUGACAGAGGGCCAUGGAUCCCUAGGGGCAGGAUGUGGUGACCCAGCUAUAUUGUGUUAUGAACACGGUUUUCCUUGUAAUGCUGAGAGAUUGACAGAGACACAGAGGAGAACGAACUCGUAAAAGCACAGCCUCCUUCAUUAUCGACGCAUCGUGGCGAUAACAUCAAAGCGGAUUCCCAGACUCUGGAGUCAGCCAGAGGCUGUCGCUUCAGCCAGGCAAUAAAACAUUCCUAGCCUGGUUCCAAAUUUGUUUGUGCUGUCUUGCCAACUCCUCUGGUCAUUGGAGGGACCCACCAGGCUAUUAAAUUCUAAUCUCACUGGUAUUGAUUUUUUUGUUUGUAUGCUGUGUGAAGGUCAAGAGUAAAACGUUAGUGCAUGUGUCAUGGGACUUGAGACUCUAAUCAUAAUAAUGUGGAUCGGAGUGGUUAAUUUAUGUUUCCCAUACAACCCUACUGAAGCUAAAGGCUAUAGAUGGUCAGUGUGCAGAGGAGAGCAGCUCUGUGAGGACUGUCUGUCUACCCCAGGCACGCCAGGCCAUUGACACGAGAUCCUGCUGUGAGAUAGCUGUUUACAGCAAAGAGAAGGAUCGUCUACAACAUACAGAACCAGGGCAAGGUUUAUGGUACAAUUCACAGUACCAGGAGGCAAAGGUGAAUGUUUUGGCCCAUGAGUACUAAGGAAACAUGAGCACAGAAAACAUGUUAUGUGCUGGAAAACCGGACUGGAGUCAAGAUGCGUGCGUGCGUGCAAGGGUGAUUCGAGAGGGCCCAUGGUGUGUGAAGUGGACAAUUGGAUGUUCCUCUUUGGAAUCGUCAGUUGGGGCGAGGGGUGUUCUAGAGCAUUACGACCAGACCUGUACACAACAGUGACCAAGUACUACAAGUGGAUAGAAGAGAAUAGUCCUAUCCUCCCUUGCGUCAGGGUCCAUGUACCCACAGAAAUUACCGCCUUAGACUCGUAAUAUGAUGUAUAUCAUGUUGUAUAAUUGUACAUAUAGGAAUAUAAGUAUUUUAACUCCUGACGUUUAAACAUAAUAUUUCAUUUUUAUUCUAUGUCUUUGCAAACAGGGCGACAAUAAAGCAUUUUUAUAUUACUCACAAUCCAAGGUUUUUCCAAAAUGGUCCAACUUCCAACCUUGAAAAUAUACUGUAGCAAAUCUGUGAAGAUCUCCUUCCAGUGACUCACCAGUGACAGCUUGUUUUAUGGUUAUCCCCCUAUACAACAUGCAUCCCUCACCGCCCACACAACCACACCACCCAGGAGCCUCGACCUAGUCAUGCCUCUGGAAUCUCUCUUGAUCAGGGCUCAACCUUAAACCACAAGGCUUCAGAUCUUUUACCCAAUGGUCAUGUAAACGUAAUUAAGGUUAGACUUGCCUUUCAAAUUAGUAAUCUGGAUGAAUGGAAUACUUCAUACCUCCAAUUACGCUGGAAGGCCUGUUGGCGACUGAUGAUUAAUGUGGGUUUGUAGGAGUCAGUCAGUUGAUGGUCUCGUCCACCAGUCGGCUCUCUUUCUGUUGAACCCAUACUUAUGUGGUAGCAAUUAGCCCGUGGACGAGGUUAGUCAGUUAAUGGCAAAACAUGUAGCCUAUGUUUUUGAAAUCCUUCAGUGUUAUUAGUGCCUGAUGAGAGUCUUGAGUUUUUCAACAAAUUUCUGUCCAUAAAAGGAGACAGUGUUGAAUUGCAGCUGUUGAAAGAUACAUUCCUUCUCUAUUGGCAAGAAAUAUUAUCUGUGACUGAAUCUUCAUCUUACUUUGUCACCCUUGUUCACACCAUUAAUUACAAGCCCCAUAAACACAUUAACAAUACAAUAGUUGUUUUAGGUUAUGAACCUAAUGUCACGCUCUGACCUUAGAGAUCCUUUUUAUUCUCUAUUUUGGUUAGGUCAGGGUGUAACUAGGGUGGGUAGUCUAGUUUUUUAAUUUCUAUGUUGGCCUGGUAUUGAUCCCAAUCAGAGGCAGCUGUCUAUCGUUGUCUCUGAUUGGGGAUCAUAUUUAGGCAGCCUUUUCCCACUGGGUUUUUGUGGGAUCUUGUUUAUGUAUUGUUGCUUGUGAGCACGCCAUAGCGUCACGUUCCUUUCUUCUGUACUGUUUUGGUGAGUUUCUUAAAUUAAACAAGUGGAACGCUACGCACGCUGUCCCUUGGUCCAUUCAAUAUAAUGUUUGUGACACCUAACAUAUAACUUUAUUACAAAUGUGUGAUAUAUGUCCACAUAACUCACUCACUGCAUAUAUACGUACACUUUCCUCCUUAUGUAUUUGGACAGUGAAAAUAAAAUGUUUCAUUUGUUUCUAUACUCCAGCAUUUUGGAUUUGAGUUCAAAUGUUUCAUGUGAGGAGACAGUACAGAAUGUCAAAUAUCUGUUUUACAUUAUUACAAAUGUACUUAGUGAAUUAAAGUACUCAAAAGUU